GAUGAACGCUGGCGGCGUGCCUAAUACAUGCAAGUCGAGCGAACAGACGAGGAGCUUGCUCCUCUGACGUUAGCGGCGGACGGGUGAGUAACACGUGGAUAACCUACCUAUAAGACUGGGAUAACUUCGGGAAACCGGAGCUAAUACCGGAUAAUAUAUUGAACCGCAUGGUUCAAUAGUGAAAGACGGUUUUGCUGUCACUUAUAGAUGGAUCCGCGCCGCAUUAGCUAGUUGGUAAGGUAACGGCUUACCAAGGCAACGAUGCGUAGCCGACCUGAGAGGGUGAUCGGCUACACUGGAACCGAGACACGGUCCAGACUCCUACGGGAGGCAGCAGUAGGGAAUCUUCCGCAAUGGGCGAAAGCCUGACGGAGCAACGCCGCGUGAGUGAUGAAGGUCUUCGGAUCGUAAAACUCUGUUAUUAGGGAAGAACAAAUGUGUAAGUAACUAUGCACGUCUUGACGGUACCUAAUCAGAAAGCCACGGCUAACUACGUG
rnacentral:rRNA from 1 species